rnacentral:rRNA from 1 species
AGAGUUUGAUCCUGGCUCAGGAUGAACGCUAGCGACAGGCUUAACACAUGCAAGUCGAGGGGCAGCGGGGGCGUAGCAAUAUGCCUGCCGGCGACCGGCGCACGGGUGAGUAACACGUAUGUAACCUGCCCUAUGCAGGGGGAUAACCCGGAGAAAUCCGGCCUAAUACCGCGUAACACCUUAGGGGAGCAUUCUCUUGAGGUUAAAGGAGAGAUCCGGCAUAGGAUGGACAUGCGUCGCAUUAGGUAGACGGCGGGGUAACGGCCCACCGUGCCGACGAUGCGUAGGGGUUCUGAGAGGAAGGCCCCCCACACUGGUACUGAGACACGGACCAGACUCCUACGGGAGGCAGCAGUGAGGAAUAUUGGUCAAUGGCCGAGAGGCUGAACCAGCCAAGUCGCGUGAGGGAAGAAUGUCCUAAGGAUUGUAAACCUCUUUUGUCGGGGAGCAAAAAGGCUCUGCGGAGUCGUAUUGAGAGUACCCGAAGAAAAAGCAUCGGCCAACUCCGUGCCAGCAGCCGCGGUAAAACGGAGGAUGCGAGCGUUAUCCGGAUUUAUUGGGUUUAAAGGGUGCGCAGGCGGCGUGUCAAGCAAGCGGUAAAAUAGCGGGGCUCAACCCCGUCGAGCCGUUUGAACUGGCGCGCUUGAGUUCAGGCGAGGUAGGCGGAAUUCGUGGUGUAGCGGUGAAAUGCAUAGAUAUCACGAAGAACUCCGAUUGCGAAGGCAGCUUACCAGUCUGCGACUGACGCUCAGGCACGAAAGUGUGGGUAUCGAACAGGAUUAGAUACCCUGGUAGUCCACACAGUAAACGAUGAGCGCUAGGUGUCCGGGUCGCAUGAGACUUGGGUGCCCGAGCGAAAGCGUUAAGCGCUCCACCUGGGGAGUACGCCGGCAACGGUGAAACUCAAAGGAAUUGACGGGGGCCCGCACAAGCGGAGGAACAUGUGGUUUAAUUCGAUGAUACGCGAGGAACCUUACCCGGGCUCAAACGACUCAGGAAUAUAUUGGAAACGAUGUAGCCAGCAAUGGUCUGAGUCGAGGUGCUGCAUGGUUGUCGUCAGCUCGUGCCGUGAGGUGUCGGCUUAAGUGCCAUAACGAGCGCAACCCCUACCGCCAGUUGCCAACGGGUAAAGCCGGGAACUCUGGCGGGACUGCCGGCGCAAGCUGUGAGGAAGGCGGGGAUGACGUCAAAUCAGCACGGCCCUUACGUCCGGGGCGACACACGUGUUACAAUGGCAGGUACAGCGGGAAGCCACCUGGUGACAGGGAGCGGAACCCGAAAGCCUGUCUCAGUUCGGAUUGGAGUCUGCAACUCGACUCCAUGAAGCUGGAUUCGCUAGUAAUCGCGCAUCAGCCAUGGCGCGGUGAAUACGUUCCCGGGCCUUGCACACACCGCCCGUCA